rnacentral:rRNA from 1 species
CCUACGGGUGGCAGCAGUGGGGAAUAUUGCACAAUGGGGGAAACCCUGAUGCAGCGACGCCGCGUGAGUGAAGAAGUAUCUCGGUACGUAAAGCUCUAUCAGUAGGGAAGAAAAUGACGGUACCUGACCCAGGAGCACCGGCUAACUACGUGCCAGCAGCCGUGGUAAUACGUCGGGGGCAAGCGUUAUCCGGAUUUACUGGGUGUAAAGGGAGCGUAGACGGCUGCGCAGGUCUGGAGUGAAAUGCCGGGGCCCAACCCCGGAACUGCCUUGGAAACUGUGCAGCUGGAGUGCAGGAGAGGUAAGCGGAAUGCAUAGUGUAGCGGUGAAAUGCGUAGAGAUCAGGAAGAACACCGAUUGCGAAGGCAGCUUACUAGACUGUAACUGACGUUGAGGCACGAAAGCGUGGGGAGCAAACAGGAUUAGAUACCCUUGUAGUC